GAUGAACGCUAGCUACAGGCUUAACACAUGCAAGUCGAGGGGAAACGAUAUUGGAAGCUUGCUUCCGAUAGGCGUCGACCGGCGCACGGGUGAGUAACGCGUAUCCAACCUGCCCACCACUUGGGGAUAACCUUGCGAAAGUAAGACUAAUACCCAAUGACGUCUCUAGAAGACAUCUGAAAGAGAUUAAAGAUUUAUCGGUGAUGGAUGGGGAUGCGUCUGAUUAGUUUGUUGGCGGGGUAACGGCCCACCAAGGCGACGAUCAGUAGGGGUUCUGAGAGGAAGGUCCCCCCACAUUGGAACUGAGACACGGUCCAAACUCCUACGGGAGGCAGCAGUUGAGGAAUAUUGGUCAAUGGGCGAGAGCCUGAACCAGCCAAGUAGCGUGCAGGAUGACGGCCCUAUGGGUUGUAAACUGCUUUUAUAAGGGAUAAAGUGAGCUCGUGAGGCUUUUUGCAUGUACCUUAUGAAUAAGGACCGGCUAAUUCCGUG
rnacentral:rRNA from 1 species